rfam:Candidatus Nasuia deltocephalinicola str. NAS-ALF, complete genome.
GAUUAAGUAGCUCAGAUGGUUAGAGCGCCGGACUGAAAAUCCGUUUGUCGACGGUUCAAAUCCGUCCUUAAUCA